rnacentral:rRNA from 1 species
CCUACGGGAGGCAGCAGUAGGGAAUCUUCCACAAUGGGCGAAAGCCUGAUGGAGCAACGCCGCGUGAGUGAAGAAGUAUUUCGGUAUGUAAAGCUCUAUCAGCAGGGAAGAAAAUGACGGUACCUGACUAAGAAGCCCCGGCUAACUACGUGCCAGCAGCCGCGGUAAUACGUAGGGGGCAAGCGUUAUCCGGAUUUACUGGGUGUAAAGGGAGCGUAGACGGCAGAGCAAGUCUGAAGUGAAAUCCCGCGGCCCAACUGCGGGACUGCUUUGGAAACUGCCCGGCUAGAGUGCUGGAGAGGUAA